rnacentral:lncRNA from 1 species
CUACAUCAGGAAUACACUAAAGCCCAUUCACGGUAAAUACGACAGUGUAAAUGUAAACCUGCAAUUCUUGUGAUCUUGGAACAACUUUUUACAACGGUAUCCAUCAACAUGUGCUGUGAGUGAGUUGGAAUAUCCAAAAGGCCACUGGUUUAGCUAAUAAGCAAAUAUCCUUACUUAAGUAAACCUCAUCCUGACACCAAAAAAAAAAACUGCUUUAAACUACAAAGAAUGACAAAUGAAGAAAUCGUAUUUAGCUUCCAUCUAAACUGAGAAUUCAAACAGCCUUUCAGAGGCCAAAGCACAUAAGCAGAAUGGGGUUGGAACUUGGUCCUCCAUCAACCUACUCUAGCUCAGGUCACAAAUAAGUGUGCAUCCAUGGUUACAAGUUAUAAUGUGGUGGUCCUCGUCCUGGAUAGCAUGCAAUAAUUAUUAAGUCAAGCUUUAAUAAAAACUUCCGUUCUUGCAAAAUCAUCCUUCAUUACACCUGCAUGGAAGAUACUUCACUAUAUUCUCAACCACCAUCUAGCAGGUUCAAUAGAAGCUUCUUUUGUGAGGGUUUUCUCACAGAAGUUGUCCAAUCCUAGGUCUAACUACAGCAUUACAGUUAGCUGCAUCGUUUGUAUAUUGAUAAUUUAAUCUGUUCUUGUAAACAGCAUACUGGUUUAAGUCAAGCUUUGAUGAAAAAUUCUGUUCUUGCAAAAUCAACCUUCAUUACACCUGCAUGGAAGCCUACUUCACUGUAUUCUGAACCACCUUCUAGCAGGUUCAAUAGAAGCUUCUUUU